rnacentral:rRNA from 1 species
CGGGAUCCAUCAAGCUUGCUUGGUGGUGAGAGUGGCGAACGGGUGAGUAAUGCGUGACCGACCUGCCCCAUGCUCCGGAAUAGCUCCUGGAAACGGGUGGUAAUGCCGGAUGUUCCACAUGAUCGCAUGUGAUUGUGGGAAAGAUUCUAUCGGCGUGGGAUGGGGUCGCGUCCUAUCAGCUUGUUGGUGAGGUAACGGCUCACCAAGGCUUCGACGGGUAGCCGGCCUGAGAGGGCGACCGGCCACAUUGGGACUGAGAUACGGCCCAGACUCCUACGGGAGGCAGCAGUGGGGAAUAUUGCACAAUGGGCGCAAGCCUGAUGCAGCGACGCCGCGUGAGGGAUGGAGGCCUUCGGGUUGUAAACCUCUUUUGUUUGGGAGCAAGCCUUCGGGUGAGUGUACCUUUCGAAUAAGCGCCGGCUAACUACGUGCCAGCAGCCGCGGUAAUACGUAGGGCGCAAGCGUUAUCCGGAUUUAUUGGGCGUAAAGGGCUCGUAGGCGGCUCGUCGCGUCCGGUGUGAAAGUCCAUCGCUUAACGGUGGAUCUGCGCCGGGUACGGGCGGGCUGGAGUGCGGUAGGGGAGACUGGAAUUCCCGGUGUAACGGUGGAAUGUGUAGAUAUCGGGAAGAACACGAUGGCGAAGGC